CGCGGCCUAUCAGCUUGUUGGUGAGGUAACGGCUCACCAAGGCAUCGACGGGUAGCUGGUCUGAGAGGAUGAUCAGCCACACUGGGACUGGGACACGGCCCAGACUCCUACGGGAGGCAGCAGUAGGGAAUCUUGCGCAAUGGGCGAAAGCCUGACGCAGCAACGCCGCGUGGGGGAUGAAUGCCUUCGGGUUGUAAACCCCUUUCAGCAGGGACGAAAAUGACGGUACCUGCAGAAGAAGCGCCGGCCAACUACGUGCCAGCAGCCGCGGUAAUACGUAGGGCGCAAGCGUUGUCCGGAUUUAUUGGGCGUAAAGGGCUCGUAGGCGGUUUGGUAAGUCGGGUGUGAAAACUCAGGGCUCAACUCUGAGACGCCACUCGAUACUGCCAUGACUAGAGUCCGGUAGGGGAGUGCGGAAUUCCUGGUGUAGCGGUGAAAUGCGCAGAUAUCAGGAGGAACACCAACAGCGAAGGCAGCACUCUGGGCCGGUACUGACGCUGAGGAGCGAAAGCGUGGGGAGCAAACAGGAUUAGAUACCCUGGUAGUCCACGCCGUAAACGUUGGGCACUAGGUGUGGGUCCCAUCCAACGGGAUCCGCGCCGCAGCUAACGCAUUAAGUGCCCCGCCUGGGGAGUACGG
rnacentral:rRNA from 1 species